rnacentral:lncRNA from 1 species
GGGAACCGGUACAGAGUCAAUGUGGAGGCUAUAUACAGGGGGUACCGGUACAGAGUCAAUGUGGAGGCUAUAUACAGGGGGUACUGGUACAGAGUCAAUGUGGAAGCUAUAUACAGGGUGUUACGGUACAGAGUCAAUGUGGAGGCUAUAUACAGGGGGUACCAGUACAGAGUCAAUGUGGAGGCUAUAUACAGGGGGAACCAGUACAGAGUCAAUGUGGAGGCUAUAUACAGGGGGUACCGGUACAGAGUCAAUGUGGAGGCUAUAUACAGGGGGUACUGGUACAGAGUCAAUGUGGAGGCUAUAUACAGGGGGUACCAGUACAGAGUCAAUGUGGAGGCUAUAUACAGGGGGAACCGGUACAGAGUCAAUGUGGAGGCUAUAUACAGGGGGUACCGGUACAGAGUCAAUGUG